rnacentral:rRNA from 1 species
UGCGUAGGCGGGUUUCUAAGUCAGAGGUGAAAGCCUGGAGCUCAACUCCAGAACUGCCUUUGAUACUGGAAGUCUUGAGUUCGGGAGAGGUGAGUGGAACUGCGAGUGUAGAGGUGAAAUUCGUAGAUAUUCGCAAGAACACCAGUGGCGAAGGCGGCUCACUGGCCCGAUACUGACGCUGAGGCACGAAAGCGUGGGGGAGCAAACA